CCAAUGAAGAGUUUGAUCCUGGCUCAGAACGAACGCUGGUGGCGUGUCUGAUGCAUGCAAGUCGAGCGAGGCGGGGCAACCCAGCCGAGCGGCGGACGGGUGAGUAACGCGUGAGCAACCUGCCCCGGAGUUGGGAACAACCGG
rnacentral:rRNA from 1 species